AGCGCAACCCUGAUGGAGCACACCGCGUGAGUGAAGAAGGGUUUCGGAUCGUAAAGCUCUGUUGUUAGAGAAGAACGUGCGUGAGAGCAACUGUUCACGCUUUGACGGUAUCUAACCAGAAAGUCACGGCUAACUACGUGCCAGCAGCCGCGGUAAUACGUAGGUGGCAAGCGUUAUCCGGAUUUAUUGGGCGUAAAGCGAGCGCAGGCGGUUUGAUAAGUCUGAUGUGAAAGCCUUUGGCUUAACCAAAGAAGUGCAUCGGAAACUGUCUUACUUGAGUGCAGAAGAGGACAGUGGAACUCCAUGUGUAGCGGUGAAAUAA
rnacentral:rRNA from 1 species